UACAGAGGGUGCGAGCGUUGUCCGGAAUCACUGGGCGUAAAGGGCGCGUAGGCGGCCUGGUAAGUAGGGGGUGAAAUCCCGUGGCUCAACUGCGGGACGGCCUCUUAGACUGCCGGGCUCGAGCACAGUAGAGGCAGGUGGAAUUCCCGGUGUAGCGGUGGAAUGCGUAGAGAUCGGGAAGAACAUCGGUGGCGAAGGCGGCCUGCUGGGCUGUUGCUGACGCUGAGGCGCGACAGCGUGGGGAGCAAACAGG
rnacentral:rRNA from 1 species